rnacentral:rRNA from 1 species
GGGGGCAACCCUGCGCGGCGAGCGGCGAACGGGUGAGUAAUACAUCGGAACGUGUCCAGUAGUGGGGGAUAACCAGUCGAAAGAUUGGCUAAUACCGCAUACGAUCUACGGAUGAAAGCGGGGGACCGCAAGGCCUCGCGCUAUUGGAGCGGCCGAUGUCGGAUUAGCUAGUUGGCGGGGUAAUGGCCCACCAAGGCAACGAUCCGUAGCUGGUCUGAGAGGACGAUCAGCCACACUGGAACUGAGACACGGUCCAGACUCCUACGGGAGGCAGCAGUGGGGAAUUUUGGACAAUGGGCGCAAGCCUGAUCCAGCCAUGCCGCGUGAGUGAAGAAGGCCUUCGGGUUGUAAAGCUCUUUCGGCGGGGACGAAACGGUCCGCGUUAACACCGCGGAUCAAUGACGGUACUCGCAGAAGAAGCACCGGCUAACUACGUGCCAGCAGCCGCGGUAAUACGUAGGGUGCAGGCGUUAAUCGGAAUUACUGGGCGUAAAGCGUGCGCAGGCGGCUCCUUAAGUCAGAUGUGAAAUCCCCGG